rnacentral:rRNA from 1 species
GAUGAACGCUAGCGGCGUGCCUAACACAUGCAAGUCGAACGUGAGAGGGUACUUGUAUCCUUGAAAGUGGCGGACGGGUGAGUAAGACGUAGGUGACCUGCCUCGAAGUGGGGGAUAACCAUUGGAAACGAUGGCUAAUACCGCAUAAGCUGGUGAUGAUGGGAAUUGUUAUCAGGAAAGCUUUAGUGCUUUGAGAGGGGCCUACGGCCGAUUAGCUAGUUGGUGAGGUAAAGGCUCACCAAGGCGAUGAUCGGUAGCUGGUCUGAGAGGACGAUCAGCCACACGGGAACUGAGACACGGUCCCGACUCCUACGGGGGGCAGCAGUGAGGAAUAUUCGGCAAUGGGGGCAACCCUGACCGAGCAACGCCGCGUGGAGGAUGACGGUUUUCGGAUUGUAAACUCCUUUUCUCAGGGAAGAGCGAGGACGGUACCUGAGGAAUAAGUCACGGCUAACUACGUGCCAGCAGCCGCGGUAAGGCACGACUGU